GAUGAAGAACGUAGCGAAAUGCGAUAAGUAAUGUGAAUUGCAGAAUUCAGUGAAUCAUCGAAUCUUUGAACGCACAUUGCGCCCGCCAGUAUUCUGGCGGGCAUGCCUGUUCGAGCGUCAUUUCAACCAUCAAGCCCCCGGCUUGUGUUGGGGACCUGCGGCUGCCGCAGGCCCUGAAAAGCAGUGGCGGGCUCGCUGUCACACCGAGCGUAGUAGCAUACAUCUCGCUCUGGGCGUGCUGCGGGUUCCGGCCGUGAAACCCCCCAAUUUUCAAGGUUGACCUCGGAUCAGGUAGGAAUACCCGCUGAACUUAAGCAUAUCAAUAAGCGGAGGA
rnacentral:misc_RNA from 1 species